rnacentral:tRNA from 1 species
GCGAGGGUAGCCAAGCCAGGUCAAAGGCGAGAGACUCAAGAUCUCUUCCAGAAGUGGUUCGCCGGUUCAAAUCCGGCCCCUCGCA